rnacentral:rRNA from 1 species
UUUUUGGUUAAGUUACAAAGAGCAUACGGUGGAUGCCUUGGCACCAGAAGGCGAUGAAGGACGUGGUUACCUGCGAUAAGCAUCGGAUAGGUGGAAACAACCUGUAACCCGAUGAUUUCCGAAUGGGGCAACCCUCUCAGGGUAAUGCCUGAGAACUCUGCACUGAAUUCAUAGGUGCGGUAGAGCAAACGGGGGGAAGUGAAAUAUCUCAGUACCCCUAGGAAGAAAAAGUAAUAACGAUUCCGUCAGUAGUGACGAGCGAACGCGGAACAGCCUAAACUUUCUGAUACAUUCAAGGUUACGACCGUUGUAUCAGGAGUGUUGUGGGGCGCUUGUGGUCUGAAUCGUAAAUAAGACGGAGAGUAAAAAACCAUUAUGAUAGCUGAAUCGUUUGGAACAACGAAUCAUAGAAGGUGAAAAUCCUGUAAGCGAAAUUGUAGUGGCUCUCUGAUAAGCGUUCCCAAGUACCACGGAAUAAGUGGAAGUCUGUGGGAACCUGCGAGAACCAUCUCGCAAGGCUAAAUACUCUCUGGUGACCGAUAGUGAACAAGUACCGUGAGGGAAAGGUGAAAAGCACUCCUAACAGGAGGGUGAAAUAGUACCUGAAACCGUAUGCUUACAAACGGUCGGAGCAAAGAAAGGGUAGCAAUACUUUUUCUGAGUGACGGCGUGCCUUUUGCUUAAUGAGCCUACGACUUACUCGUACGUAGCAAGGCUAAUGAACUAAGUUCAGCAGCCGUAGCGAAAGCAAGUCUGAAUAGGGCGAAUCAGUUACGUGCGGUAGACGCGAAACCCGGUGAUCUAUCCUUGACCAGGAUGAAGUGGGGGUAAAACCUCAUGGAGGUCCGAACCAGUGUGGGUUGAAAACUACUUGGAUGAGUUGAGGAUAGGAGUGAAAAGCUAAUCGAACUGGGUGAUAGCUCGUACUCCCCGAAAUAGCUUUAGGGCUAGCCUCGGG